rnacentral:lncRNA from 1 species
GUACCAGAGGAGAGAUGGCUCCCCUCCCCUGCUUCCUCUGGGUGUGGACCAUGUUGCCUCUGGGCAUGCUGACAUCGAGUCUUGUGAUGGAAACGAUAUGUUGUUAUCAUACUCAAAGUUCACCAAAGAUGUCUGCAGGUACGAGAGUUACAAAAGUGUCACUUGUACUGCCCAAAUCGAAGUGAGACAGCAUCUCAGAGUAGGAAAUGAAAGGAGCCAGUAUGAGAUGCAAGUAGUUUUUUAGUAUUUAUGUAUUCUAUUUAUCUGGCUGUGUGGGAUGCUCCUUGUAGUGCAUGGACUCUAGUUGUGGUGCUCGGCCUCCAGAGUAUGUAGACUCCAGAGUACAGGGCCUUCAGUAGCUGCGGCUGGUGGGCUUAGUUGCUCCAUGGCAUACAUGCUCUUAUUUCCCCAACCAGGUAUUGAACCCAUGGCCCCUGCAUUGCAAGGUGGAUUCUUAACCACUGGACCACCAGAGAAGUCCCCCAAGUAGUUUUAAAAGGCAUGAAAGAUAUGAAAGCACUUAUGUAUGGUAAUUAACUGUACAUUUUAAAAAAUGAUUAAGGUGGUCAAUUUUAUAUUAUGCAUGAGGUGUUAAGUUGAUUCAGUCCUGUCUGACUCUGCAACCCUAUGGACUGUAGCCCUCCAGGUUCC